rnacentral:rRNA from 1 species
GUUUGACGUUAGCAACAGAAGAAGCACCGGCUAACUCCGUGCCAGCAGCCGCGGUAAUACGGAGGGUGCGAGCGUUAAUCGGAAUUACUGGGCGUAAAGCGCAUGCAGGUGGUCUGUUAAGCAAGAUGUGAAAGCCCGGGGCUCAACCUCGGAACAGCAUUUUGAACUGGCAGACUAGAGUACUGUAGAGGGGGGUAGAAUUUCAGGUGUAGCGGUGAAAUGCGUAGAGAUCUGAAGGAAUACCGGUGGCGAAGGCGGCCCCCUGGACAGAUACUGACACUCAGAUGCGAAAGCGUGGGGAGCAAACAGGAUUAGAUACCCUGGUAGUCCACGCCGUAAACGAUGUCUACUUGGAGGUUGUGGCCUUGAGCCGUGGCUUUCGGAGCUAACGCGUUAAGUAGACCGCCUGGGGAGUACGGUCGCAAGAUUAAAACUCAAAUGAAUUGACGGGGGCCCGCACAAGCGGUGGAGCAUGUGGUUUAAUUCGAUGCAACGCGAAGAACCUUACCUACUCUUGACAUCCAGAGAAUUUAGCAGAGAUGCUUUAGUGCCUUCGGGAACUCUGAGACAGGUGCUGCAUGGCUGUCGUCAGCUCGUGUUGUGAAAUGUUGGGUUAAGUCCCGCAACGAGCGCAACCCUUAUCCUUGUUUGCCAGCACAUAAUGGUGGGAACUC